CCUACCACUGACAUUUGCCUGGGGUUGCAGCCUCCGCGCAGUACGGAUUUGAUCUGAUAACGAAGAACCCAUUAAGAAAUUUUCUUCUUCUCUUUUGCCUUAGACGCGAUGCAGCGUUUGUAAUCUCCAGAAUAUUGUACUCUUUUUUUCAUAGUGAAGCUCUCUCCUCCUUCAUCCUUGAUUUUUUUUUCCUGUCAAAGAUUUUUCACGUUAAUCUUUGUAUUCAUUUUAUUUUCUAUCUGUGGUUUGUCUAUUUUACGUUCGCCGUUCGCGUUUUUGUUUGUACACUUGUCAUAAUAUUCCUAAUGAAUAAAAUUAU
rnacentral:lncRNA from 1 species